GGGUUGCCAUGCCUCCCCCCAUCAGUGGGAGUCUCCCACAAUUUUUUAGUUUACCCACAUACAUCUCACUCCCACAAAACUCCCACAAUUAGAAAUCUCCCACAAAAAUCUCCCACAAUUUUUUAAUUUCUCCCACAAUUUUUUUUUUAGCAUUUUAAUGUUUUUAAUAUAUAAAUAAUAAUUUUGAGAGACAGUAUUUGAUUAUUUUUAAAAUAAAUUUUAAAUAUUUAUUCGAAAAAUAUGUCUAGUUCUUUUAUUUUAUUUUUCCGCUAAUCUCCAUCCAACCAAUCCAAUCCAUUCGACAUUUUCAAAAUUUGAAGUUAGAAAAAUUCUAUAAUUGCAGUGCUCCACUCGACAUUUUCAUAGAAGAAUAGAACUUUUAGAAGUGAACAAUAAUACCAAACAGAUUUAACAACAUCAUAUUUGGUAUUGGCACCUCAACAACCUCAACUGGUAUGAAACAAAAAUCAAUUAAGAAUUUCUUCAAGAAAUCAGUGCCAGUGAUUCCUGAGGUGGUGGAACUUAAGCAUCUUUGUGAUCGUGUUCGUG